rnacentral:rRNA from 1 species
UACGUAGGGGUGCGAGCGUUUAAUCGGAAUUACUGGGCGUAAAGCGUGCGCAGGCGGUCUGUUAAGACCCGAUGUGAAAUCCCCGGGCUUAACCUGGGAACUGCAUUGGUGACUGGCAGGCUUUGAGUGUGGCAGAGGGAGGUAGAAUUCCACGUGUAGCAGUGAAAUGCGCAGAUAUCAGGAGGAACACCGGUGGCGAAGGCGGCUCAGCUGGUCCAUUACUGACGCUGAGUGCGAAAGCGUGGGGAGCAA